UGUGUGUGUCUGAGCUGAUGACAUAUUAUGACAGCAUGCUCAAGAGUGAGACUCAGCCUCAAAGCAAUGCAGGUCACGGCAAUAGGCUUUAUAUAACCCAGAGCUGCAGAGAGACCCAAAAUAGCAUCUUCCCUGCUGCUCAGUUAGUCUCCUCCAUCAGCCAGGGAUAAAAUUAGAGCAGGCGCUGACGUGCACCUGCGUGUGCAGAGGGACUCCAGGGAGACAGAACAGACUCAACACUCUGCCAUCAGCUGAGAAGGCUGCCAGAUUUUUCAGACCCCAAUCUGUCACCAGACGGAGCCGUGUGUGUAUGUGUGUGCGUGUGGGUGUUCGUUGGUGUAAAUGUAUGCCAUGUAGAGACCUGCUCUGAGGACAGCGUGUGAAAAGACUGGCCUGGGAGCUGAUAGCAAGGAGCUUGGCUGUGUGGGACUAUGCAGGAGAUGUUUCAGGCUAUUUGGAAGGAAGUUGGUUCCCGUACCGGUCUCAAGUUUACCUUGCAGUUUCUUUUCUCGGACCCACACACUUCUCUCUGACCCAAGGAGUGGGAAGGCUGGCCCCUUUGAAACCUCUUUCUGCAAACAGAUAAGCCUGACUGUGUUUUGUUUUGCUUUCAGCUGAACCAAACACAUGGAAUCUGGAGGUUAAAAGACUGCCAAGAAGUCAAGGGGAGAGAGAAAUGAGGAUGGAAAAGGAAACUCUGCUGUUCUGUGGCCUUUGGGGCUUUGACCUCGUCUGGAAGCCAUAAACACUGCUCUCAGCCCAUCGCCUGAAUUCUGAGGUUCAGCCGUCUGCCACACACUCUCUGGGUGACCUUGACCACAAUCAUCUCCUGUGGAUUCCCAGUGGCACCUGUCUGGCUCAAGCCCCUGCUCUGCCUACAGAGCUGCAUAUACAGCUGCCUCUAGAACAUUUCUAUCUGGUGGCUCCCUUUCCACUCAAGCACGUAAUAUGCAUUGAGUUAAUUGUUGGGCAUUAAAGUCGGGUCCACACUGA